UCGGUGUUUCUGCUAACGUCCCUAAGACGCAAUAUGGUAGUGGGUAGAAGUAGGUUUCGUACAGGCGUUAAGCUUUAUUUAUCUUAGAAUCAUGUUUGUCUAAACACACUUAGCUGAGGAGUUUUGAUGGGAUCCGGUGUAUUAGUACUGGUAUGAUCGCGCCCUAUAGGUCUACGAAGAAGGCACCCCUCAACCAUAUUGUUUAAGGGAGAGACGGUAAUGAAUCUUUUAGAAUGGCUAUACGUCGUGAGUUUUCUAACUAAGUUUAUCUUGGUUCAAUUUGUAACAUAUUUCGGUUGUUUUAUGGUGUUCUGAAAACAAUUCAUGACGCGAGUCUAUAUAUGAUAAACUCAUGUGUUUUACUAGUUUUGUAUCCAAGUGAAACCUAGUAAUUUGACCCAAGCUAGGUCCUUAUUAUGACCAAUUGAUGUAUGCUUAGUUAUAUAAUUAAGACUAAAUAUACUUUCGAGUCUGUUAGGAAUGUUCUAAGCCCAUCUUGUUAAUAUGAUUCUAGUAGUUAUGCUUUUAGCGAAAAAUUUUGACCUCGAUGCAAGUCUGUCUCACAUCCACACAAGGAAAAGUUUUGAUAGCAACUAGAUCUCUCGAUUAGUGUGAUCGCUUAGAUCACAGUGUCAUGCUUACACCUAGAAUAGAGUAGUACCAAUGCAUACGCAUGAAUCUAAUUUACAAGGUCUUGAGAGCGGUAUGAACUCUACUCAUGACGAUCCGUCUCUCGCGAUGCCUGAGGCAAAGUCGAUGCACCUUGCAGCUCUGCCAAUCGAUGUUUGGUUGCAAUCCUCCUCUCUUGGAAUGUCGUGUGUCUGCCAUGUUAUUCUCCUGCCUCUGCUCGAGCGGCGAUAAGGUCCUAAAAAUAGAGUUGGUCUUUGAAAUAGUAGUCUGUUUCCGAGUCUCGGGUACGUGAGACGGUAGGAUCCGUAGUAGUGUGCAGUUUUCGAACUCGGUUUGCAGUCUCCCUGUUUUAAUCCCCGAUGUUCGCGAUCUACCGGGUCUUCGUCGGGAGGGCUCUGUCAGUCGGUCCCCCGUGGUUGAGGUCAUAGCACCCUCGUUGGUCUCCACAUGGUGAUUGUUGUUCUUGCUGUCGACUCCAACCCUCAAUCAUGGUUACCCAACGGGGCACAGGUUCGAUGUAGUCGAAACGGUUCGCGGGAACCCUGGCUAUGCAUGGAGGGAUGAUUACCUCCAGUUCCGCUUCUGAUUCUUCUCAUAAGCAUCCUCCAUUUCUCUGGUUGGGAAAGUUGGGGUCGCCUAGUAAGUAGGAUCUUGCUAUGUUAUACGUGCGAGAAUAGGAGUGGAAGAGAUAAUUACUUGGCGUCUGACUCUAUAAUUAAUUACUUAUAGGGGUGAUCCUUGUCAGUCAUGUCUAUAAUCACUUAGUGCAUACCAGUUACACAUAAUCUGAGAUAGAAUAGACCUUUGAAUAAAUGAAUCUACUCUAAAUCCAUAACCAAACAAGGAACAGGAAGUAGAGUAAUAGUCAUAGAUUCUGAGUCUAUAAUAUCUUCAAUUAUGUAUAACCUUAGCGUACGCACUCAAUCGUUAAGGACCUACUAAUAGGGGUCUUUAAUUUUCACAUAAGUUGGUUAUAGUAUUACAAAAUACUCCUAUAGUAUUUUAAUGUUUGACUUAUGCUUUUCAAUGUUUGUUUGUAGAUAGAAUUGUUAAGUUUUAAGACUUGUUGCAAUGUGACAACCAAUCCUGGGAAUAUGCUAAUCACUUCUGGGUUAGACAUAGUUGAUCAGGCUAUGUCAUUCCCAGACCUGACUAUACAUCCCCAAGCCUACUUGUGCCAUUCAACAAUCAUUACUUUUGUUUUGUUCUAGAAUUAUGUUGACCUUAAUAUGUAUGCAUGCAUGUAUACUUUUAACCAGAAACUAUUUAUUUCUAAAAGUAUAGUUAUUUGAAAAUGUUAAAUCAGAGAACUUAGUCCCAAAGCAUUUAUAGUUUGUAUAUCUUAUGUGGUUCGAUAUACUUAGUUCACUAUAAACAAUGCUCUGAUACCAAUCUGUCACACCCCCAAACCAAGGAUGGCGGAAACGUUCGGGGGUAGAGGACUUCAUGUAUAGUAUCACAACAAUGCGUAUAAUAGUGCUCAAAGUAGAUACAACCAUCAUAAAUAUAAUUGAAAAAGUUAAACCAAAGUAUAUUUUUACAUGUUUCAAAUCAAUUACAUUAUGAUGACAAAAUGAACUGUUUGACGAUUUAACGUCCCAUCCUCAAAAUGCUGUCGGUUUUCCUGUUUCACUGAUUUCCUGAGAAUACAAGUAGUUUUGAAAAAGUGUCAACAAUUAAGUUGGUGAGUUCAUAAGAGUUUAGUUUGAGAACGAAACUGUUUUCCUUGUAAAAGCGACAAAGUAUGUUUCUAGAAAAUCCAAUAUUUUCUUUAUUAUGUAUGAAAUGAAUGCCUCUAUGUUAUGCGAUGAUGAACCCUAGAAAGACCCAUGGAUUCCUUCUAUAAUCACUCAGCGUAUAUAAACUAUAUAAGAUUUAAAUUAAAUAAACUGUCGAAUAUAAUGGGUCUACCCUAGAUCCACAACCAAACAAGGAAUAGGAGGAAAGACGGACACACCAAUUCUAAGUCGAUUAUGAAUAGAUUCUUAUAUAACUCUAACAUAUACACUUAGCAAUUAUAACCGAAGCCUAGCAAUUCUAGAUGAAUGUAGUUUUAACAGAAAUAUGUUUCCAAAAAAAAUCCAAUAUUUUCCUUAUAAGAGUCAGGUAGUCCUAAAUCCCAGGACCAAAAGUAAACAAUUAUUUUCCAUACUUAAAGAUAUAAAAGUGAUUUUAAAUCGGCAUAAAACCCUUUUUGAUAUGAAAGUGUACAAGUAUUUUUCCAUACUUAAAGUAAUUCUUGUGAGUUAAAUCGACAUAACACGCUAAUUUAAAAGUAGAACCCGUAAAUCUUAUGAUUUUUUGAUACUACAAGUGAGCUAUUAUAACCAUGCUAAACUCCGAUGGCCUCGUAAUACGACGUUCUUCAGGCGUCUCCGCGAAAUGACACUUGUCACCCCAGACCUGUCGGUCUAGCUGCUGCAAGCAGCUCAGGUGCGGGUUUGUCAGACCUGAUAUAGAUCUAUACACAACUAUCACGCUCUCCCUACAAGAGACUCUGGUUAUAAUUUACACGACUUUUGACUUUGUUACCAUGAAGGUAACACAAAGGGAAUGACUCACAAAUUUAUUCAUUAACAGAUUUACGUGAACUGAACUGAAAACCUUUGGUAAAUAAGUUUGAAAUGUAAAAGAUACAUAAGCUAUACCUAUUAUAGUUUAUCUGAAACGUUUAUAAUGUAAAAGAACUCUUUUAUGAAAAUGCAUUAGUGCUACGAAUCCAUAAACUAUGCUUAUUAUAGCUUCUUAUAAGUGUUCUAAAUGAAUAAAGAAACUUAUCAUGAAUGACUAAAUUUCAGUUUAUGAUGAUAAACUAACAAGAAAACACAUUCAAUAUUUAGUACUUAUUAUUAUACACUUUGCUCAACAUAAUACAAAGUGUUAUGAAAGUUAUAAGCUGUUAACUAGUUUUUAGCCUUUCAGCACUGUUUUAUAAAAAUCAUAAAUUUUAAGAGUUCAUAAAAUCUGUCUAAUUUAUCCAUAAUUUUUAUUAUGAUUUUUGGAAGUCUUUAACUUGGGUUAAAAUGUCCAUAUUCACAAACAGGUCUGGAUUUGUUCUUGAAAUGAUAGGCUGUUUUGUAAAAAUCACCAUAAAUCGUAGAAAAAUCGUAUGAAGAUGUGAAAGUAGUCAUUUUAAAGGUAUAAACCUGAACUAUUUGCAUCUAAUAUAGUUUUGAAAACUAAAAUGUUUAAGUUGACCAAAACAGUCCGUGAAUGGAGUUAAACUUUCUUGAUGAAAGCUGUUGGAAAAGUUUAGUUGUGUUCUUGGUGUUUUAACUUGUAUUCCCCCNGGGUAUGAACUCACCUUAUAUGAUUUCAGUAGAUGGAUGAUGGAGAAAGGUAGUGUUCCAUUCAAGAACACUAAGAAGAUGUCUUGAAGGUUCGAAGAUCUAACAUGAAUGAGAUGACGUUUGUGCAAAAUAUCUAUGAUUUUAGUAGAAGGAAGUGAAAUAAUUAUAUGGAAGAUGAGUAUACUUACCAAAAGUAGAAGAAAAGCCUUGGAAAAUGACUUGGAAAUUUCGAAAUUGAGAGAGAAGAGUUGAGAGAAAAGUGUUUGAUCUUUUGGUGGAUAUGAGAGAAAAUGAGUGAAGUGAGGAGUUUUUCCCAGCUCUUAGAACGUGAGAAUGGAUGGAAAUGAUGAUAAAUUACAAGGAUGUGACUAGGUAUGGUGGGAGGAGUGUGGCUGGUCAUGGAGUGGGUGUGGGGGUGGUUGCUUGUGUCAUUAACUAAAGGAAAGUCAAGAGUCCACCUCUUGUACUUCACCCACUCUUCUUGGAUAAGGUUUUAUCCCCAAAAACGUGAUUAAUUAAUAAAUAUGGGGCCUUAUAUGUUAAAAUAAAGUUUUGGGNGAAAAUCUCAGUUAAAAUGAUGAAAAACGGGUUUAAAAUGAAAUCGUGGUCGAAAACCGGGAAGAAAUGCUCUUUCUGCGAGGCUUCUCGCAUGGGGGGCCGAAGGUGGCUAGGUUCUGUCCUUGGAAGGAUGGGACCGAAGGCACGGGUGAGUCUGGAGGCGAAAUGGAGCGAAGCUGGUCAGUUCGGUUCGUCCGAGGUUCGGGCCCGAAAGGGAGGGUUCGGUUCGGUCUGCUGAACUUCGGUCCGAGGUGGUGCAUUUUGCUUCUAAUGUCUUCGCUUCUGAUGCCUUCGCUUCUGACACCUUCGUUUCUGACAAGUUCGGUUCCUAAGAGGGUUCGGCUCCUUAAGAGGGGUUUCGGGUCCUUAAGUCUAUUUUAUCCGUUUUUACACCGUUUUAAGCUGUUUUUGACCUGGUUAAGGGUCAGGAUGGCCUAAAAGACUAUAAAAAGUUAAGGGAACUUUUGAGAGAGAUUUUGGAGAGAUUUCACGUACUUGGAGAGAUUUCACAUACUUGGAGAGAUUUGGGGAUUUGACAUACUUGGAGAGAUUUCUCAUACUUAGAGAGAUUUGGGAGAGAUUUCACAUACAUGGAGAGAUUUGGGAGAGAUUCUAAAUAGAGAGAUAGAGUGAAAACGAUUGAGAGAGGUUUCGUGUGUGACACAUGUGAGUGCCCGACUUCGCAACGCAAGGUCCGUAAACCUUGUUAAGCCAUGCUUAAGGGUCCUACACACUCCUGAUGGGUAUGCAACAUUGUUUUAUCGGUUUGGUUCAUUACUUAACGCAGUUUUAGGUUAAUGAAAUCUAGAUACAUGAACUUUUCAAUUGAUGAUUUCUCAUUAGAAUAACGAGUUGUAUAGUAAUUACCUAACGUAAGCCCUAGUACCCAAGGGUUAAUUGAGUCGACCAGUUUGACUUGUUGACUUUAGUUGACUUUGACUUGACCGGAAAUUGACGGUUGUCACAUUUACUCCCCGUUUAGCAUCCUAAGACGAGCCAGACACCCCGGUUUCAAACCCCAGCCCUGACGAAGGUCCGAAGCCCCGUGAUUCCCGAGAAUCUCGCCACUUUUCGUUCGAAGUGCCACCCGAGAAAAAGCUUGCUUUCUUCAAAUCGUCACACUAUCCAAGUUAGUUCACACCCCUACUUUCUUUUCACAUCUUUUUUCAUAUUUUAGGGGGGAUACAAGUGUAAUACGAGAAAAACUUAUCGUUUUAUGCAGAUUCAAAUACACCACCUACAUUUUUAUAAAUGUUAAACAACUUCGAUAUCAACGUAUAAACUAUAUACAAAGUUAGUAUCACAUCGAGUUUUUUUUAUCACCAAAUGGUACACACUUUUGGAAAAACUAUAAUAGGUGUAAUUUACAAGUUAUUCAUUACAUCUUUACGUAAACAUUGUGGAAAUGAAAUACUUUUAUGUACAUGAAAUAUAGAAGGUUCUUUAAUAAAUCUAUUAAUACUAAGUGUUGUGAGACAUUCGACUUCAACGUACUCUCAAGUAUGUAUUUCAAGCCCUGUAUUAUAAACAAUAAUCUAUUGGAGGGAUAGCAUGAUACUUGUGUAUAGAUCUAUACGGGAAUGACAAUCCCGCACCUAAACUGUUAGCUAUAGUUAGACCGGCAGGUCUGGGGUGACAAACGUCAUAACACUACAAUGCCUGAAGAACGUUGUUACAGGCAGUCCGGGUCAAUAGCAUGGUUAUAAAACUCACACAGAAGUAUUAAAUAAUCUUGAUUUAUGAGACUCUUGAAUGCAUUCAGUAAAUACAUUACUUUGAGUAUAAAUUCACUUUCAUCAUUUGAGCACGAAAGAUACUAAUGCACUCCAACCUUUGGAACUUUUUCAAACUAUGAAAAGGAAAUAUUGGAUUUUCUGGAAAACACAUUCAUUUAUUUUUACUAAAAGAGAUAAAAAUUUUAGUACAAAAACACUUAUAAACUCACCAACUUAAUUGUUGACACUUCUUCAAAACUACUUGUAUUUCUCAGGGAAUCAGUAAUACAGGUAACCAUCAGCUUUUGGGAAGGAACGCUAAGGCGUCUAUUAUCAAAACAUUUUAAAUCAUCAUAUUUGUAAUAUUCUUUUGAAACAUGUAUUACAUGCAACAAUGUAAGUUUUUGUUAUAUAUAUGAUUGUUGUGUUUACUUUCUUUAUAAUAUUCAACUGUUAUGAUACUACGUGAAGUCACCCACCCCCGAAUGUUUCUGCCAUUCUGGUUUGGGGGUGUGACAGAUGGGUAUCAGAGCAUUGUUUAUAGUGAACUAAGUAUAUCAAACCACAUAAGAUAUACAAACUAUAAAUGCAAAGGGACCAAAAACCCUCUAACAAAACAUUUUUCAUAAACGAUACUUUUGAUAAAUUAAAGUGAUAUACACUUCCUUUUUAUAAAAGUAUAAGUACUAGCAUGCAUCGAUCUCGUAUCAUAACAAAAUUUUAUAAAACUAUUAAGACAAGUCGCAACACUACGACUAGGCCUCAGGAUAUGUAAUCAAAUCAAGAAUAAAUAUAGUCUGAUCAACUAUAUUUAUCCUGGAUGUGACCAACAUGUGUCGAGGAAUGGUCGUAGUGAGUAACAAGUCGAAAACUUACCAAAGUAAUUACUAGAAUCAAACUUACAAAUUUGAAAUACUAUAGGAGUAUUUUAUAGAGCCUUAAGAGCUACAAAAAAUCGUUCAAACCCCAAUAUUUAGUUAAAAUUAGGAAAUCGUCAAAUAAAUAUUUUCUUAUCAAAAAUUACUUUUUCUCCCAAGUUUUCUUACCUCUACUUCUCGACCAGACAAAAUGGAAGGAUUUCACAUUCCCGGGGACCCCUACUAUCCCAACCAAGGAAAUGGAGGUUGGAUUGAGGAUGACCCAGAAGAGGAUUCCGAAGAGGAAAUUCCCGAGGAAGAACCAGAAGAGGAAUCCGAAAAGGAUCCUGAGGAAGACCAAAAACGAAGAAUCAGAAGAGGAAGGAGAUGGUGGGAGCACAGACUCGGAACCUGAGAUCUACAACCCUCCCCGAGGAGCAGUAAUUCCUCGACGAGACUUUCAGGGCCCCACGCCUCGCUGGGCUAUGGAUAUGAAGCAAUGGAGCAGGGAACAAGGGCAACGCCCACCCUACGGCAUGGCACGAAGCGUUUAUAUCCUCCGCAAUGGGGGUUCGGCUGACAGGGCACUCCCUUUCAUGGUUCGUCACAUUGCCAACCAAGGCUAGCAAGUAAGAGCAAAUGCCAACCAACUAUUGGACAUUGGGGCUACCAAUGCUGUCAUUGCGGUACGUCUUCGUCGUCUGGACGAAGAACACGAUCGGACAAUAGAGCAUACCUUUUCCCUUCAGAAAUACAUUACUGCUACUAGGGCCAAAGUAAGGGAGUUCCGUGAGCAACAGGCCACUAUGGAAAGGCGUAUCAUCGAGGUUGAACGUCAAGUAGCCCGAGCUAAGACUUCCACAACUACCUACCAUGGUCCGCAACGCCCUACCUACUCGGAAUAGAACGCGUACUUCUGACGCUAUAUUUAUAUCUAUCGGCUAAGUGUUGGUGUUAUCUUUUCUUGUAUAAAUGUAAACCCGACGGAUUGUGAACACACAAUUCGGAGGCCGGAAUGCUGUCAAAUUUUCCCAUUUUCAUUGAUGUACCCUAGACCUAUUAAAGGUCAAAUUUUCCUGAUUGUUGUAUCAUAUACUAAUAUCAAUGAAAUCGACAGGCAAUUAUUACUUCCUUGAGUAUCCCAUUAAUCAUAUGCUUGUUUUCUUUUGAAAGUUUCCAUUAACAUACAAAAACCAGAAAUGUUCAGAACUAAUAUUUAUAAACCUUCCUUAAUCAUUUCAAAUGACUUAUCAAGUAUUCGUCUCUUAACUUGUGGCAGAAUCAUGCCACCAAGAAGGAAUCCCCGAUGUUUCAAUACAAACGAAGCACCAACACCACCUCCACCACCCCCUCCAUCGAUGGAUGCUGCUACCUUUCAGGCUGCUGUAACAGCCGCCGUAACUACAGCAAUGGCACAAAUGAGUAACAACGGAUCAGGAGGAGGGAUAAACAGCUUUACAAAUGGCCAAACCCAAGGGCGUUCCGGGGAAUGUACCUAUAAAGACUUCUCCAACAGCAAACCCAUCCCCUUUAAUGGAACUGGGGGAGUGAUGGCUCUAUCCCAAUGGAUAGAGAAAACAGAAGUUGUGUUCAAGAUAUGCUCAUGCCCCGAAGAAAGCAAAGUAAAAUUUGCUACCUGUACUUUCUCCAAGAGAGCCCUAACGUGGUGGAAUGGCCACGUCAAGUCACUAACUCUGGUGGUGGCAAACUCCAUGGGUUAGGAGAACCUGAAACGGCUGCUACUACGAGAGUAUUGCCCAAGGGGCGAGAUUCAGAAGCUCGAACAGGAGCUUUGGGGCCUUACGAUGGUAGGCUCAGACAUCACAAGCUAUACAAAUAAAUUCAGUGACUUGACGAUACUUUGUCAAGGAAUGAUGAUUCUGGAAAGCCAGAAGGUGGAAAGGUACAUCUGGGGGCUGUCACCCCAGCUUCGAGAAAGUGUGCUAGCUUCCAAACCCACAACGUUCGACAGCGCCAAGGAACUGGCACAAUCUCUCGUUGAUCAUGGAGUCUACCAAAGUGUCACAACCGUCAUCCCAGAACCAACCAAAGGGAGCAACAACAACAACAACAAGAAGAAGGUUUGGAACAAGAGGAAAGGUCAAACUUCGCAGGAACCUUCAAAGAAACAAAUAGUGGCGGUCCAUGCCGCUACUGCCCCCACUGUUGUUCCCGCUACCCCCGCGCCAACGAAGCAAUAUGUUGGGAACCUGACAAAGUGCAACAAAUGCAAUUACCAUCACCACGGUAAUUGCCGAGAGAUGCACUAUAAAAACUGUGACAGGAAAGGGUACACUGCCCGUUUCUAUAAGGCACUGGCGCGACCAAUCACCCAAGUUCCUGGUAAUAGAGUGAGCCAGACAUGUUAUGGGUGUGGGGAAGCUGGGCACUACAAGAAGGACUGCCCUAAAGCAAAGAAUGUUGGCAGUGUAGGAAGAGUGCUGGAAAUAGGGCAGAACGAGGCAAUAGCCGUUCCCAUAGUGGUUACGGGUACGUUUCUCCUCAACAACAUUUAUGCAUGCAUACUCUUUGACUGUGGUGCGGAGAGAAGCUUCAUGAGUCAUAAAGUCAAAUACUUACUUAAUCAAAAACCCCAAGCACUCAAUAAAAUAUUCACAGUAGAAAUGGCAAACGGUAAAACGGAAAGCGCAAACGAUAUGUACAUAGGCUGUACAUUAAAUUUAAAUGAGCACUUGUUCCAAAUCGAUCUUAUGCCAAUUACUAUAAGAAGUUUUGAUGUCAUCAUCGGUAUGGACUGGUUAAGCCUUCACCAAGCCAAUAUACAUUCCCACGAAAGGGCCAUUCGCCUCAAUCUGCCAAGCGGCAAAACUCUUGUCAUUUAUGGUGACAAACCUAGUACAAAUUUACAAAUCAUCUCCUGCGUCAAAGCCAAAAAAUACCUUUGCAAGGAAUAUCAUGCCUUUCUAGCCGACGUGGUAGACAAGAAACGAGAAUCGAAAGACAUUAAAGACAUUCCGGAAGUUUGCAAUUUCCCAGACGUCUUCCCAGAAGAUCUUCCAGGAGUCCCACCAGAGUGCCAAGUCGAGUUCAGGAUGGACUUGAUUCCUGGAGCUACCCUAGUAGCAAAAUCGCCAUACCGUCUAGCCCUAGCCGUGAUGCAGGAACUGUCCAGUCAACUAAACGAGCUGCUAAGCAAAGGCUUCAUCAGACCGAGCUUCUCACCAUGGGGAGCACCGGUCCUAUUCGUAAAGAAGAAGGACAGAUCUUUUCACAUGUGCAUCGAUUACCGGGAACUGAACAAACUCACGAUCAAGAACCGAUAUCCCUUACCGCGCAUAGACGAUCUGUUCAACCAACUACAAGGAGCAAGGUAAUUUUAAAAGAUCGAUCUAAGAUCUAGGUAUCACCAGCUGCGAGUCCUGGAAGGAGACAUUCCCAAAACGGCAUUCCGAACUCGCUAUGGUCACUACGAGUUUGUAGUGAUGCCCUUUGGGUUGACAAAUGCACCAGCGGUGUUCAUGGACUUGAUGAACCGAGUAUGUCGUCCCUUCCUAGAUAAAUUUGUGAUCGUGUUCAUAGAUUAUAUACUCAUGUAUUCAAGGAGCAAGGAAGAACAUAGCCAACACCUCCACCAAGUUUUGGAAACAUUAAGGACAGAGAAGCUAUAUGCAAAAUUCUCAAAGUGCGAAUUUUGGAUUCGGGAAGUAGAUUUCCUAGGUCACGUGGUCAGCAAGUAGAGGAUACACGUGGACCCAUCCAAAAUCAAGGCAAUCGAGAACUGGACAACUCUGAGGAAUCCAACGGAAAUCCAGCAAUUCUUGGGCCUCGCCGGGUAUUACCGAAGGUUCAUACAAAACUUAUCAAAGAUUGCUAAGCCGCUUACCACCCUAAAUCAGAAGAGUGUAACCUUCGACUAGGGAGAAAAACAAGACAUCGCAUUCCAAACACUAAAGUGAGCCCUGUACAGUGCACUUAUUUUAACCUUACCAAAAGGAAUAGAAGUCUUUGUGGUCUACUAUGAUGCGUCAAACCAAGGACUUGGAUGCGUUCUAUUGCAGCGCACGAGGUAAACUACACGACGCAGGAUCUCGAGCUAGGAGCAGUCGUUUUCAUUCUAAAGAUCUGGAGGCACUAUCUCUACGGCACGAAAUGUACAAUCUUCACCGAUCAUAAAAGCCUACAGCAUAUCCUCAACCAGAAAGAACUCAACAUGAGACAAAGACGAUGGGUAGAACUAUUAAACGGUUACGAAUGCGAAAUUCAUUAUCAUCCCGGAAAAGCUAAUGUGGUAGCUGAUGCACUCAGCAGGAAGGAAUACUCGGGCCGCCGAGUGAAAUCUUUAACUAUGAUAAUCCAUUCACACCUGUCCACACAAAUCAAGGAAGUUCAAAUAGAAGCCUUGAAUUUCGAAAAUGUGGCAGGGGAAUCCUUAAGGGGAAUGGAUAAGAAUCUUGAAGUCAAGGAUGACGGAGUUUAUUACUUCAUGAAUCGGAUCUGGACGCCGAAGUUUGGCGGAUUCAUAAAAUUUGUCAUGGACGAAGCCCAUAAGACACGAUACUCCAUACAUCCCGGUACAGAUAAGAUGUAUUUGGACCUCAAGAAACUGUAUUGGUGGCCGAACAUGAAAGCCGAAAUUGCUACAUAUGUAGGCAAAUGUCUGACCUGCGCCAAAGUCAAAGUGGAAUACCAAAAGCCCUCAGCAUUGUUGCAGCAACCAGAAAUACCCGAAUGGAAGUGGGAGCGGAUAACCAUGGACUUCAUAACCAAGUUACCCAAGACGGCAAGCGGACUCGGCACCAUCUGGGUGAUCGUCGACAGGUUAACUAAAUAUGCGCACUUCCUACCUAUCAAAGAAAUGGAUAAACUGGAGAAGCUAACUAGAACAUACAUCAAGGAGAUUGUACGACUGCAUGGUGUGCCAAUAUCCAUUAUCUCAGACCGAGAUAGUACAUUCACCUCGAGGUUUUGGCAGUCGCUACAAAGAUCUCUAGGAAUGCGGUUGGACAUGAGUACCGCUUAUCACCCACAGACCGACGGCCAGAGUGAGAGAACCAUACAAACCGUAGAAGAUAUGUUGAGAGCUUGCGUGAUCGAUUUAGGCAUGGCGUGGGACACCCAUUUACCAUUGGUCGAUUUUUCAUACAACAAUAGCUACCACACUAGCAUCAAGGUUUCCCCACUCAAAGCCCUCUACGGCCGAAAGUGCAGAUCACAUCUGUGUUGUGCUGAAGUGGGUGACACACAACUAGCAAGAGGACAGGCAACGAACAACACUCUCACUGGACCAGAAAUCAUAACAGAAACUAUGGGGAAGAUUGUUCAAAUCCGUGAGUGACUAAAGGCUUCAAGAGACAGACAAAAGAGUUAUGCGGAUAAAAGACGGAAACCCUUGGAGUUCCAGGUUGGAGACCGGGUACUACUAAAAGUCUCGCCCUGGAAGGGAUUGAUAUGUUUCUGAAAGCAUGGAAAGCUAAACCCAAGGUACAUCGGACCAUUCGAGAUCCUUGCCAGGAUCGGCCCGGUGGCUUACAAACUUCGAUUACCACAGGAACUCAACAACGUACACCCUACAUUUCACGUAUCGAACCUAAAGAAAUGCUUUUCCGAUGAGACCCUCGUUAUCCCUCUGGAAAAAAUUGAAAUCAAAGAGAAUCUCCAAUUCGUAGAACAGCCAGUAGAGAUCAUGGAUCGGGAAAUUAAAAGAACUAAACAAAGCCGCAUACCCAUUGUGAAGGUUCGUUAGAACACCAAGCGAGGACCAGAAUACACCUGGGAACGUGAGAAUCAGAUGAAACAAAAGUACCCGCAUCUUUUUCCUAGCACUCUAUCUUAGAUUAAAUUUCGGGAUGAAAUUCCCUCUAACAGGGGGAUGAUGUGACAACCCGAUAUUUUCAAACCAAUGUAACAUUCAAAAAGUCAAAUAAAUCAGCAUCAAAAAUGAAGUGUUCUAAAAUCUAAAUUGGGAUGCAUAAAGUGUUAGAUAUCAUGCCAAGGUUUCCAAAAAUAUAAAGAACACUCAAAUCCAAGUUAUAACGAUGAACUUAUGACCAAUCGAAAAUCCACAACACACCCAGUAAAACACUGAUAAGUGUAAAAGUGAAACUUCAAUAAAAUACUUUUUAACCCUAGACACCUAAACGAAAGUCGUAGAUUACUUUAAACCGUGAACGUGCAUAAAAAGAACGUCCAAAUCUGACUUCGUAUGAAGAAGUUACAAUUUUUCUAAGUUUCAGAACAACGGUAGACAGCUACAAACUCGGAAUAAAGAUCGAGCAAUUUUUAGCCGAUGCAACCUAAACGAGAGUUGAAGGUCUCUACAAUAGUAGUACAAUGGUAAAAAGACAGACGAAAAUGGACAUCAGAUAAAGAAGUUAUGGAUUUUUAACGAAAUUAUCAUAUCCCGGCCUAUUUAAAAUAAAAUAUUAAAAAUUAAAGUCAAAAUUAACCGACGAAGUCUAAAUGAAAGGUGUAGAGUAUUUUGUCGCCUACGCGUGGAUAUAAAGAACGUCAAAAACGGAGCUCGUAUGCGAAAGUUACGCAUUUUUGAAGUUUUUGGCACGCAUUUCAAAGCUUAUCCAAAGGAGUAUGCCCAGCAUACUUUGGAGUACGCCCAGCAUACACGAUGCACGGACUCGAACCGGCCAUGUCGCCCCUACACCCUCUACGACAGUCUCAUCCAAAGACUAAAGACCGGAGACGUCAUUGCUGACGUACGCCCCGCGUACGAGGGUACGCCCAGCGUACGAGGUACGCCCAACAUACUUCGGAGUACGCCCAGCGUACGAGGCCUGGCAGCCCACCUAUAAAUACCUUGCAAGACAUCCGACUUUCCUUGCUCAUUUUUCUCUUCACUCUCACAUUAACUCCCCGUUUAGCAUCCUGAGACGACCCCGACACCUCAGUUUCAUACCCCAGCCCCGACGAAGGUCCGAAGCCCCGAGAUUCACGAGAAUCUUGCCACUUUCCGGUUGAAGUGUCGCCUGAGAAAACGCUCGCUUUCUUCGAAUCGCCACACUUUCCAAGUGAGUUCACACCCCUACUUUCUUUUCACAUCUUUUUUCAUAUUUUAGGGGGCGAUACAAGUGUAAUACGAGAGAAAAUUAUCGUUUUAAACAGAUUCAAAUAAACCACCUACAUUUUUAUAAAUGUUAAACAACUUCGAUAUCAACGUAUAAACAAUAUAAAAAGUUAGUAUCACAUCGAGUUUUUUUUUUAUCACCAAAUGGUACACACUUUCGGAAAAACUAUAAUAGGUGUAGUUUACAAGUUAUUCAUUCCAUCUUUACGUAAACAUUGUGAAAAUGAAAUACUUUCAUCUACAUGAAAUAUAGAAGGUUCUUUCAUAAAUCUAUUAAUACUAAGUGUUGUGAGACAUUUGACUUCAACGUACUCUCAUGUACGUAUUUCAAGCCCUGUAUUAUAAACCAUAAUCUCUUGGAGGGAGAGCGUGAUACUUGUGUAUAGAUCCAUACGGGACUGACAAUCCCGCACCUAAACUGUUAGCUAUAGUUAGACCGGCAGGUCUGGGGUGACAAACGUCAUAACACUACAACGCCUGAAGAACGUUGUUACAGGCAGUCUGGGUCAAUCGCAUGGUUAUAAAACUCACACAGAAGUAUUAAAUAAAUUUGAUUUAUGAGACUCUUGAAUGCAUUCAGUAAAUACAUUACUUUGAGUAUAAAUUCACUUUCAUCAUUUGAGCACGAAAGAUACUAAUGCACUCCAACCUUUGGAACUUUUUCAAACUAUGAAAUACAAAUUUCAAUACAAAAACACUUAUGAACUCACCAACUUAAUUGUUGACACUUCUUCAAAACUACUUGUAUUUCUCAGGGAAUCAGUAAUACAGGUAACCAUCAGCUUUUGGGAAGGAACGCUAAGGCGUCUAUUAUCAAAACAUUUUAAAUCAUCAUAUUUGUAUAUUCUUUUGAAACAUGUAUUACAUGCAACAAUGUAAGUUUUUGUUAUAUAUAUGAUGGUUGUGUUUACUUUCUUUACAAUAUUCAACUGUUAUGAUACUACGUGAAGUCACCCACCCCCUAAUGUUUCCACCUUUCUGGUUUGGGGGUGUGACAUAAUAUGAACUGAAUUAAGAGUUUAGAAAUUACCUUUGAUUAUUAUGUAGCAAUAACAAUCUAUUCAUUGGCUUCAGAAAGCUUAGUGCCUCAAGUGUUGCACCUCUAAUGGAGUUACAAACACCAUAAGCAAUAAGGAUGAAGAAGAAAGAGAAUGAGAACUACAAAAACGUCCAGAAACCCUCUUGCAAAGAUAAGCCACGUUUUUAGGUCUCAAGGGUUCUUUAAAUAGGUAGGCAAUUAGGGUUAUCUAACAAGGAAACCCUAAUUUGACUGCUUAAGCCCUAAGCAGCCCAUGGACCCCUUCUGGAACAUGCCUUGGAUGAAAAUCAUAUGGGAUUCCCAUAGAUUAUCUCCAACCUAUAUUCCUAGGUGAUUCAUAGCCAAUUGCAAUUAUCUUAUAAUUACAAUUCCAGUCCCCUUAAGUUUAAUUAAUCUCUUUUAGUCACAAAAUUAAUUCUUAAUUAAUUCUUGACUAGUAUUAAUUAAACAAUAUGAUUUCUCCUUUAAUAUAUUAUUCAAUCAUAAUUAAACCUUUCUCUCCUUAAUUCAUCCUAUAAGUUGCAUUGGUGAAGGCAACUCAAAAGGACCUUGCACCACCGGGUCAAGUACAUACCAAAAUAGUUAUGGACUUAGACACUAAUCCAACACCUAUGUCUCAUUCUUUUCUACAGUUUACAUCGACAAGGCAUCGGAAAACUGGGCUAAUAGAUUGGUUUUCUCUUUUUGCUUGGGAGGCGUAUCCCAAUCCUGCAACUUGAUUGAGUUGGGGAGACAACUAGGGAUGUAUAUAGAAGAGAAGACUGCUAGUCCUCAUUUCUUUGCUUAUCUUGACAACUGUAUUAUUGAUCCACCAAAGGAGUAUAGAUAUAUGCAGGUUUGGGGUCAUGCUAGGGGGACCUAUGUUUCUACGACGGCUAAGGAGAGUUCCUUCAAAUCUCCAACUUACUGGUUGCUUCACCGAUUGGUCGCUUCUACUGUUUGUCGUCACAAGGAGCGUGAAAAGGUUCCUUCUGGAGACCUAUUCUACAUUUGGUUCCUUGCUUAUACUGAGGUUCACCUCAAUCUUCCCUUCGCUUUUGCUCUCUAGUUGUCUAGUAUGGCUCUAGGUACCAUGCCUUCGAGCAGGAUUUGUGGUGGCCUUUGGGUCACUCAAUUGGCCCAAUCUUUCGAGGUCGAUACUAGUGGGAUGGUUCCUAUUCCUAUCAUAUACAUAGGUACGACAUAUCUAGGUAAGAUGCAGGUGUUGGUUCAAGGAGAUGAUCAACAAUGGAGGGUUCGUAAUGAUGAUAUUGUGGAACCGAUCAGACAGGUGGAGCCAAAGCAUAUCCCUGAGCCUGCCUUCGAGACGUUAGAGACCUAGGUACGUGGAGACUGAUCGAGAGCCAAAUCUAUGCAAUGUGAUGCAGCGUUUAGACGGUAUACAUGAGGAGCAUCGUUGGAUUAUAACAUCGAUUUUUGGGGUGAGGCAGCACCUGGGGAUGGAUCAUCCACCCUUUCCUCAGGCAAGUCAUGUUGUUCCCCCUCGUGCUCACUCGAGGGGUGCUGGUCAUGAUGGUGUUGGUGCUUCAAGCACACAUCAUGGAGAUACUUAUGACAUUAAGGAAGGUACGGAGGAUGAGGACGAGAGCAGUGAUGAGUAGGUGGGAGGGUUGAUGUGUUGGUUUGUAUUUUGAUACUUGUUUUUACUUAUUUUGUAGGAUAUCUUUUGGUACACUUAUGUAUAUUUAUACUCUUUACUUUGGUUUGUAUUGUAUAGGUAUGUUUGGUUUCUAUUUUAUCAAUUAUCGAGUCCAAAUUUAGUUGGUGUAUUGUUCCAACCAAGACUAAACAUAGGUGAUCAGGUUAUAUUUAGUUGUGACUCAACCUUUAGACACUGAAUCAACCUAGAUAAUUGACUUACAUAUUUUGCAUUCUUUAUUUGUAUCCCUAAUUGUUUAGGGUUGGCGAUUAUUAUUGUUUUGUGCUUCUAGACUAUCAAAUAAGGAUCAGCCAAAUAGGAAGUGCCUAGGGGCAGUAUAGUUUUAGCAUAUAACCAUUAUGAAAUUUAACAACCCAAAUUAUAGUUUAAACUAGUCACCUCUCCAGAAAGUAGUUUAUAGGGUAAUUUAUAAUAAUAUUUUUAUUUAUAUGUUUUAGGAAAAACCUUAUCGGAGUAUAUGUCCCUAGGCUAUAGUCGUAAUUCCUAAGGAAGUACUAGUUCGCUAAAGCAAGUAGCUCUGAUACCAUUUUGUCACACCUCCCCCGGCCGGUGGCAAAAGUGUCGAGGGGUGACAAUGGUACAUAGAUUUCCCAAAUUGCAGAGUACAAACUAUAAUACCUUUUAUUUAUAAUGAUGUAUAUUACAUGGAUAAAUAAAAGAAAACUAUUUGUCUUCGAGCUAUUUUUCCUUCCUUGCGUUGAUUUCUUCUCCUUCCUAGGAAUACAUGCGGUUUUGAAAACGUAAACUUAUUGUUGGUAAGUUCACACGUUUAACAGAUAUCGAUAAAAGUCUUUUUGAAAACUUUUUGGGAUCUUUGUUUAUGAAUAAGAGUGUUUUCUUAUUUAUCAAUUCCUAGGUUUUCCAUUUCAUAGCUUUGAAUUCCUUUUAUUUCUCAAAACAUAUUUUUUAGGAUGUAUAGUCAAUCCUAAUUUUCUAUAUCUUUUUUCUUUCACUUUUAGGACAUUUUACCAAUCCUAGCUUGUUUUAAUAUUCUAGGAUAUUUCACAAAUCCUAACUUAUUAAUAUAUUCUUAGGAUAUUCUACCAUUCCUAACUUAAAUACUUUCUAGGACAUUUUACUAAUCCUAAUUUUUGUUAUAAUAUUUUGGAUAUUUUAUCUAUCUUACUCUAUUAUAAUAUUAAUUACUCGAAGGCGUCCGUCUAGGUUGGUUCCUUAAGGUUUUCGAUUUGUAUUACCAUGAGCCACCAUAAUCAUCAUUGUGGAAUAAUAAUUUUCCCCGCACGGCGCUUCAUUGGACAUCGAAUAAUACUUCUAUAUAAAGAAAAUUAUCCUGUUGGGAUUGUAGCUAGAAAUCGUAGGUGGGGUGUUAUCCCUGUAUAGAUCUAUACAUUUCUUUCUGGCUCUCAUAAGAUUAACGAUUAUAGGUUAGUGGUAGCCAAGUUUAACCAGGCUAAGGAUGAAUAAUAAAAUUUCACUAACACAUUAACCUUAGGUGUUUUAUCUUUUCUUUAACUGUUUUAUAAAAUCUUUAAUUAUCACUAUAUAAUCUUUGUACUUUAUAUUUGAUAAUUAAAAUCGAUAUAGUUCAUAAUUAUCUUUGUGUGUGUGUAUGUGUGUGUGUAUAUAUAUAUAUAUAUAUAUAUAUUUAUAGAGAGAGANUUGUAACGCCCUAUCUCGAAUCGUUUCCUAAUGCGGGUGGUGACUCGAAGACCGAGUAUCAUCAGGCUUAGGUCCUUUGAGGAAAAGAGAUUUAGACCUAUUUGGGUGUGGGUAAUGUAAUUUGGAUGAUCCAGGAGUUCAGUUUGUGUUUUAGAGCCAAGGGGUAUUUCGGUAAACUAUCAGUUUGGGCUUAUAUGGAAAUUAGGUUUUUGUUCAGGAAGUUUUAAGGAAAGUAUGAGUCGAUAUAAGUGUAUAGCUUCUCAUUACCUCUUCAUGGAUAUAAGGAUCAUCAGAAAUAGACUUAUAACGAAGAAGUUAUGGCCUUUGGAAGAUUCAUGGUUUUAGGGCUAAACCGAGUACGCGCGGCAUACACAAGUGUACGCGAGGCGUACUAAUGAGAAGGCCAAUAUGUGGGGCAUAGAUUGGCAUACGUUGGGCGUAUUAAGCAAAAUGAUUGCGGUUCUUAAGGAGUAUGAUGGGCGUACCAGAAGUACGUUGGGCGUAAUCCAGUCAAACCCAAACGAUAUUUAGGGUCGUGGACCCUAUUUAAGCUCCUUAACUCAGCACCAAAUCCUAUUAUCUUCGGCCUCUAUCCCUCUAAACCCUAGAAACAAAAACCUAGCCACCAUUUGAGUGGCUUUUGAGCUUUUGGUGGUAUUUCAUGCUUUUUGGUGUUUAUAGAAGAAGAAGGAAAAUUUUAAAGAAGUGUAGGAUUCCUUGAAGCUUUUGGAUCCAGGCUCGUUGCAUCUUGAUCUACAUUUUGGAGGUAUAAAGUUUCUAACUUGAUGACUCUAGGAGUUAGAUCUAGUUUAAGGUGUAUUUUGGGUUCUUUUUGGUCCUUAGAGUCACCCUUGUGAGUAUGAGCUACUCCAAGAGCUAAGAGUGAUGGAUCUUGGCCUUUGAGAGGUCCUUGUUUAUAAAAAUGUCAUCUUGGUGAGUUAUCUUGGACCAUGCAUGAGUUUAGAUGUUUGUUAUGGAUGUCAUUAAGGAUUUUGGUCCCAUUAACCCAUGAAACGGAGUAAAGUUGCCAACUUUACGUCUUAAGACAUCUCAUUAGGGUCAUACCUAAGUUUGGAAGUCAUUGGCUUAACCAUUAAGAGCUUAAUAUGGAUUUUUGGUCCCUGGUGAGUAAGUUGGGCGUACACAUGAAGUACGCUCAGCUUAAUGAAGGUUUUGUGCAUCAACCGAAUGUACUAUAUGCUUUGAAGGUGAGUAUGUUGGGGGUACCAUUCUGGUAUGCUGGGUGUACUCCCUAGUUUGCCGUUUUGGGCAUUUUGAGGUUUGGGCCUUGUUGGGCCAUUCAACUUCUGACUUUGCGCCAUGGAUAGACUUAGGGUUUUCUUGGAAAUAGGUCCAUGAUGGUUUUGGGUCCCAAUCGGGUUAUUGGUCAAUAAUGGGCUUUUGUUGUUUUUCAUUUGGCAUUUGGAUUGCCAUUUUGGGUUUGGGGGCCUUUUAUGCAUUUUGGGUCGGGCCUUGGUUAUCGAACAAGUAAGGCAAAAGGGUAAAAUGGUCUUUUACCCUUUAGGGGGUUGGUUUAUGGAGUGGGCCUCGGAUUUUGGGUUAUUGGAUUAUUUAUUAAUUAAGAUUGUAUUUAUUGUUAGUUGGCGCGAGGGUAUCCGGUUCAACGGUCCGAGCAGUUUUUGGUUAUCAACGGAUUGAGGUGAGUAUCCUCAUUUGUAUGAUCGGGCUAGGCCUAAUGGUUUGGCAGGGCUAGGCCCAUUAUGGUGGGUUGGGUCCAAUAUGCGGGCUAUGCCCAAUAUGAGGACUAGGACCAAUGGUAUGUAUGGUAUGUGGUACUUUGGAGAACUCACUAAGCUUUGUUCUUACAAUUGUUAUGGUUAUGAUUUCAGGUACUUCCGGUUCGAAAGGGAAUGGUCCGACUUGAUUAUAGCGCAUCCACCCAUGUUUCUGCAUCAUGAUGAUUUUGGGAUUGUACUUUGAUAAUUGUUUUCUUAUAAAAGUACUUUUGAAUAUUUAGAUAAGCGGAUAUUGAAUUUUGACUUAAAGAUAAUUAAUGUUUUGUUUGAAUUAAAAAUGAAAAUUUUACAUCAUAAUUUUGGGUCGUUACAAUUAUUUUAACAUAUAUAUAUAUANAUAAUUAUUUUGUAUAUAUAAGUAUUCAUAUAUAUAUAUAUAUAUAUAUAUAUAUAUACACACCCUAAUUAUGAUUGAUUUGAAAAUAAGAUAUUCGGGCAGAGUAACAACUAGGUACAACGCAUAUCUAUAUAAUUGACUAGCAUAACUUCUAGGUACUAUGUUAUCCUAUGAAAUUGGCCUAUAUAACCUCUAGGUAAAAUCCUUUCGUAGAAUAUCGGACAUAAUAACGUUUAAGCAUAGUAUCUGUGACAACCCGAUAUUUCAACUCUAUGUAAUGACCUAAAGAUUCAAGUAUUGUAACCAAUUUUGUGAUAAUGAAAUUAACUUCGAAAAUAAAAUAUCCAAAAAGUUUCUAUUUAAUUACCUACUAUGUUUGAUGUCAUUAAACCGUGAUCGUAUGUAAAAAGAACGCCCAAAUCCGACUUCGUAUGUUGAAGUUAUGAUUUUUCCAAGUUCAGCUUAGCGACAGACACCUAAAAACUUGAAUCAGAGAUCAAGCGACUUUUGGCCGAAAUGACUUAAACGAGAAUCGAAGGUAUCAACAAUGGUAUUUCAGCGGUAAAAAGUCUGGCAAAAACAGACGUCAGAUAAAGAAGUUAUGAAUUUCUAACGAUAUUUUCUUAACGCGACCUUUUAAAAAUAAAUAAUAAAAAUAAUUUCAAAAUUUGCUGACGGAAUCUAAACGAAAGUUGUAGAGCGUAGUCUCACCUACGCGUGGAUAUAAAGAACAUCGAAAACGGAGUUCGUAUGAAGAAGAUAUGAAUUUUAGAAAUUUAUUAAAUAAAUAAAAUAUAAAUUUUAUUAUUUAACCUUGGUAUUAUCCGAAGGCGAGUCAUCAGAUAGGGCCGAGUUACGCCCAGCGUAAGCUCGUAUGCCCAGCGUACUCAAGGCCUAGGCCUCGGAUCGUCCACGUCUCGCCCUAUGCGAGGCUACGCCCCGUCCCAUCCGGAGUCCAAUGCAGUCGAGGAUGCGCUCAUGCGUGACGCACGCGUACGCCCAGCGUACCGAGGCGGUUCCCACCCCUUAUAAAAGGGAUGCGAAGGUUCUGAAGAAAAGGGCCAUUCUCUCUCAUUUCUCUUGCGUUGUUGCCUCGUUUUUCGUGCCUUUGCUAACCCGAAGCCCCGGUCACUUGGGUCAAGUCCCGAAGGUCGUUUGUACUCCCGAGAUUCCCGAGAAUCCCGAGAAAAUCCGCUUUCCCGAGAAGAAAUUAUGCCCGUUUUUCAUCUCGACUUUCUUCGAUCUUUCAAGUGAGUUCAUACCCCUUAAUUAACCUUUUAAAUAUUCUAUAAAUGCUUUUAUAUGCUUUCAAAGGGGGGAAUACAAGUAAAACACGCGAUUAUUAUCGUGUGUUAUAUAAAGUUUUAUUAUACACUUUUAUUCAACAGAAUCAUAUGUGAUUUAUAAACUUUAUAGGGAACUUUCGUAUGUAAAAUAUAUCACGAUAACAUUAUAUCUUUUGAAAUGAAAAAUGUUGUUAUAUAUGUAUAAAUUAAACACUCUGCUUAGAUUGCAUGUAUAUGUGUCCAACUUAGACACUAUGAAAAUUUAUACUUUCACAACAAGUGAUUCAUUUUCUAGGGAUUUCUAAACAAACGAGACACACUUUUAGAAAACUAUAAUAGGUAUAGUUUUACGAGAACAUUACUAACUCUUACAUACUAGAAACACUAUUUUCAAGAAGUCACUUUCGCAUACAAGAACAAAUGAACAUUUUAACACGUGAAUCUGUUUUUAUACUAAGUUUUGUGAGACAUCAACUUCACGUACGUUCGAGUACACAUUUCAAGUCCUGUAUUAUAUACUAGAAUCCCUUGGAGGGAUUCUCGAACAUGCCAAAAUAUGCUUAACUUCAUGUGCAUCGUCAGCUUAAAUUCAUAUUUUGGCAUCAUAUUGUAAUUGGUUUUGAACAUGUACCUUUUAAAAAUGUAAACUUUCAAUUAUAUAUAUGAUGGUUGUAUUGCUUUCUUUACUAUGUAUUCAUUUGUUAUGCUACCACAUGAAGUCAUCCACCCCCGAACGUUUCCGCGCAUUCUGGUUUGGGGUGCGACAGUAUCAUAGCUUACAAAUAGGUAAAGUAUCUAUGGUUACAUUAUUCUAAAGUUUUCAUGCUUUAUAUAACUAUAUAUAUAUAUAUAUAUAUAUAUAUAAUAUUUUUUUGAUAAAGCAGUUUGUUAAGCAUGUAUUCCCCCUUAAAACCUUUCAAAUAAUAAAAUGGGGUCGUGAACUCACCUUAGGAGUGUGAUCAGAAAUAUCCUUGCUGCUACACCUGAAGCUUCAUGUCAUUGGGAGGAUUUUUGAGAUAGAUCAAGAGAAAGAGAUAGAUUUUUAGGUUUUUGGGUGUGGAGAAAUCAAAAAGUGAGCAUCUGUAUUUAUAGUGCAUAUACACGCGACGCACCUUAUGUGUGUCGUGCACUCGACUCGUGGCUCCAUCCAAAGCUUGCCACACGUCACACUUCUAGUGUUCCACGUCUCUCCAAUCCUGACAAAUCCAGGUGUCAGACGUGCGCAUCGAGCAUGACACGUACUUUACGUGCAUCGCUAAAUUUUCUAUAAAAAAAUUCUUAUCUUCCUCAUAUGAAUCUUAUUUCUUAUCCUUUUUAUAUAUUUGUGUAGAUAUCAUUGAGUACUAUAACUUUCCUUAAGGUCGCGUUGUAAAAUUUUAAAUUUUAUUUUUAACCCGUAUUUUAUAUUUUUCCAAAAAUCAUAUCUUUCUUAUACAAACUCUAUUUUUGACCUUUUUCAUUUCAAAGUUCUUAUCUGUCGGAGUACUAUGCUUUUCCUUUUAAUGACUUCAGUCACAACGCAACCCUUUUCUUUAUACUAUUUUGACGUUAAUUACGUUAACGACACAGUUGAUUUUUACUUUUUAUAAAAUCAUGACUCCUCCGAUUGGAGUUAGAUUUUUACGAAGUUUAUAUCUUUGGGAUCACGUUAGUGUGUACUUUUCGAAUACAUUAACCUUUAUUAAUAGCGGUAUAACUUUUUUAUCACUCAAUUUUUAUCCUAUUAACAUUUUUUUACUUAUAAAUCAUAACUUAUAUGAUUCUAUUUUCUCAAAAUAUGAAAAACUUUAUUGCUACAAUUUGUCUCUAGUGAUGGUCGUUGACAAAAAAAUUUCCUGUUGUCACAAAUAUGUCUUGUAUAAUUAGUUAAUGCUAUAUUCGGGGAAUUUUAGAAAAAAAACUUCUGAAAAGCUAGUUUAAGUAGCUUUUUUAAAAAAUAUGACUUAUAAACUACCUUAUCAGCUACUUUUUGAUUUGCGAACAUGACAAUUUUAAAAACUUUGAAAAAUAAUUUACCUUAUUAGCUAGUUGUGGUGCGCUAAACACAACAUAAGUAGCGUUUUAAAAAGUUUGCUUAUAAGCUAGCUUAUCAGCUACUUUUUAGCUUGCCUAACAUGAUAAUUUAAAAAGCUUGAAAAAUAAGCUAACUUAUCAACUAGCUGUGACGCACCCAACAUCGCCUUAAUAAAAAAUGAAUUUUUGUUAUGAAACAGUCUAAGCAUCAUUGAUCCAACCAUGAUUAAAUUAGUUAGAUUGGAAGGUUAAAAUCCAACCAUUGAGGUGUUUCUAACGUUGUUGCAGAACGUUGCUACAUUUAUAUCCUUCUUUGAGAACUCUAUUCUUCUUCGCCUUCGAAAGCAAUGAUUUUCUACUUCAGCAAUGACCCAUCUAUAUGAGUACCAACUCGUUCAACAAUAGAAAACCAUCGGUAAAUUUGCUUUGUUUAGGUUGUUUAAUGUUUAGCCCUAUUUUAUAUAGAAAAUCAAAUAUUCUUCUCUUUUUUUCUUCAUACUAUUUUCCUAGACACUUAAUAUUGUGACAUUUCUCAUAUUUAAUAAAAUUAAUAAUUUUUUGGUACAUUUAUUUAAAGGAAUUGUUAUUAUCUUUAUGUCAUGUUUAUCUUAUUCUAGAUAGGCUUUUGAUCCAAUACGAUAGGCUAGUUUGUUACAUUCUUUGUGGCUAUUUAUUUAUCUUUUCUGAUGUAACCUAAAGGGACGAUUUUGCAUGAAUGAAACAAAAACUUAUCCUCAGUAUAAGCUGACUUUCUUUAUGGUAUCAGAGCGUCGGAUCCAUACAUAACCAGAGUUCCAAUGGCAGGAGACAAGGCGGAAUCGUCUGGUGAUGACAAGAAAAAUGAGAUAGAUACAAGCUCUCCAUACUACAUUCAUCCAUCCGAUUACCCCAAGCAGAUGCAGGUAAAUGAUGCGUUAAACGAUAGUAAUUACGGAGAGUGGAAGCAAGAGAUGAUGAAUUUCUUACUUGCAAAGAACAAGAUGGGGUUUGUGCAUGGCACAAUCAAGAAACCCGAUGCAAAGUUUUCCUUGAACUUGGCUUGAACUCGAGCUGAUGCGAUGAUAAAGGGGUGGAUAACGACAGCUAUGGAAAGAGAGAUACGCACCAGCGUCAGAUAUGCUAACACGUCAUCUGAGAUUUGGCGUGAUCUAGAAGAACGAUUCGAGAAAGAAGGAGCACCUCGAGCCUACGAAUUGAAACAAAGCCUCAACGCCUUGCGGUAAGGUGGUGCAUCUGUUUCAACAUAUUACACCAAGUUGAGGACUGCUUGGGAUGAACUCCAAACUGUUCUUCCUAACCCUUAUUGCACGUGUGAAGGGUGCCACUAUGGGAUCGGCAAACAGCUCAACGAAGUGAAAGAGAAAGAGAGAUCCUAUGAAUUUUUGAUGGGGUUAGACGAUGACUUUUCUGUGGUUCGAACCCAAAUUUUAGCCAUGAAACCGACACCAUCGUUAAGCACUAUCUACCACCUGGUAGCCGAAAGUGAACAACAGCGAGCCAUUACAGGCAAUUCCAAAAGAACCAGAGUAGAAGCUGCAACGUUUCAAGCAGAUUACAACGGACAGAGAAGCUCCAGACAGAUUCCAGCAAAGACGAACUCAACAUCAGUCAACAAGGUGAUCCAGAAAAACCCUAAGGCAGAAAAACGAAAGAAAAGAAAAGUGCUCCCACUGUCGGCGUGAAGGGCACAGUAAAGAAGGAUGUUUUAAACUGAUAGGAUAUCCUGAUUGGUGGCCCGACAACAAAGAGAAAGCGAAGCCAAUCAAAGCUCUACUAACGACAUUUGAGGUUUGGCAUAAACGCCUAGGUCAUCCAUCCACCAAGAAGAUUUCGAAAUUAAAUUUUAUUGAUGUUUCUAAAGACAAUAACAUAUGUGAUGCUUGUUUUAAAGCUAAACACACACGCCUCCCUUUUCCCAUUAGUGAAAUAAAAACUCUUUCAUGUUUUGAUUUGGUGCACUGUGACAUGUGGGGGAAAUAUAGAACCUUGUCUAUGAGCAAAGCGUCUUAAUUUCUUACCAUUAUAGAUGAUUUCAGUAGGCCUAUAUGGACCUUUUUAAUUAAACACAAACAUAAGGCAAGCACAUGCCUCAUGGAUUUUCACAAACUGGUCAAAACACAAUUUGGUAUUCAAAUAAAGCGUGUAAGGUGUGAUAAUGGGGGGAGUUUGUAUUAAAUGACAUGGACGAUUUUUAUGCACAAGAAGGAAUUAUUUUAGAAACAUCUUGCCCGCACACCCCGCAACAAAACGGGGUCGUCGAACGCAAGCAUCGACAUUUACUUGAAACUGCACAUGCCUUACGCUUUCAAGCUAAUUUGCCCACAACCUUUUGGGUGGGCCGGGGGGGGGGNGAACGCAAGCAUCGACAUUUACUUGAAACCGCACGUGCCUUACGCUUUCAAGCUAAUUUGCCCACAACCUUUUGGGGGGAGUGUAUAUUGACAGCCACAUAUGUCAUUAAUAGAAUGCCCACCAAAGUUUUACAUGGUGCCACGCCUUAUGAGGUACUGUUCCAGCGAAAACCCUCAUAUGAACACAUGUGGGUGUUUAGGUGUUUGACUUAUCAUAGAAACACAGACACCGGGGGAGACAAAUUUGAGAAACGGGGUAAGCCCGGCAUAUUUGUUGGAUAUCCCCAUGGCACUAAGGGAUAUAAAAUAUAUGAUUUGGAAAGUAAAAAGAUAAUAGUCUCUCGUGAUGUACGGUUCUUAGAGAAUGAAUUUCCAAUGAAUUAUGUUGGAACAAAUAAACAAUCACAAAAUGAAGAUUUAUUCACGUUGCAUGGUGAUAUUCCCAACCCUUCCAUGCAUGACGACGAGAACGGAUCACAUGAUGAUGGGGCUGACGUAACCCAUGAGGCCCUUAUUGACUCUUCAGCAACUUUAGAAGAUGCUGGCGCCAUCAACAUGCAUGAUGACGUCACUGAAGUAGAGACACAACCAACACAUUUAGAACCCCCUGAUAAUCACCGUGCCACUCGAACAAGAAGUCAACCAACCCGGUUCCAAGAUUUUGAAGUUGACCUUCCCCCAUCGAUCAAUCAUCUACCACCUCCGUCCGAUCGAGUCGCUUCUACGGUACAUCCUCUAACUCAUUAUGUUUCAUAUAAAAAAUUUUCACCUUCACAUAAGGCCUUUCUAGCGGCUAUUGUUCUUCACAAUGAGCCAAAAAGUUUUAAACAGGCUGCUAGACAACCCGAAUGGUGGCUUGCAAUGCAACGUGAAAUAAAAGCUUUGGAAGACAAUGACACGUGGGAGCUCACCUCUCUUCCUAAAGGCAAACGUGUCAUUGAUUCCAAAUGGGUUUUCAAGACUAAAUUCAAACCAAAUGGUGAGAUAGAGAGGCACAAAGCCCGUCUUGUUGCAAAGGGCUACACGCAAAUGGAAGGAGUAGAUUUUCACGAUACCUUUGCUCCGGUGGCUAAACUUGUUACGAUUCGAAUUUUAUUAAUUGUUGCGGUAAAAAAGAAUUGGAUUAUUCACCAACUCGAUGUGAAUAAUGCAUUCUUGCAUGGUGACUUGGAAGAAGAUGUAUACAUGAAGAUUCCCCAAGGAUUUUGCAAAGAAGGAGACACGCGAGUGUGUAAACUUAAAAAGUCACUGUAUGGCUUAAAGCAAGCAAGUCGCAAUUGGCAUCACAAGUUUACCACAGCUAUUCGUGCUCUUGGUUUCAUACAAUCUCAUGCUGACCAUUCUCUUUUUAUUUAGAAAAAUAACGAUAUUUUUGUGGUGGCUCUCAUUUAUGUAGAUGAUGUAGUCAUUGUUGGUAAUAAUGAAGAAAAGAUUGAGAGUACAAAAGCUAAUCUCCAUACCCAAUUUAGUAUCAAAGAUCUUGGUAGCUUAAAAUAUUUUUUUGGGGAUCGAGGUGUCACGUACGGAAGAAGGUUUAGUUCUCAGUCAACACAAAUACACCAUGGAUAUCUUGGACGAUUCGGGUAUGCUGGGGUGCAGGCCAAGCCGUUUUCCAAUGGAGCAGAACCUUAAACUCGAUAAAGGUGACAAUGAAAACCGGGUUGAUGCAAAUAUGUAUAGGCGUCUCAUUGGUCGUCUUUUNUUUUUUUAAAAAGCCACUCGCCCCGAUAUAACAUAUUCGGUUAACAUUUUGAGUCAAUUCGUAUCCGAUCCUAAACAGCCACACUGGGAUGCAGCUUUACGUGUUUUACGUUAUUUGAAGACCAUAAUCGGACAAGGUAUUUUGCUUCCAAAUGAUGGGUCUACUAAUCUAGUAGCUUAUAGUGACUCCGAUUGGUUGGGAUGUCCCUAUUCGCGCCGUUCUCGAACAUGAUACUUACUUCUCCUUGGAGGAGCUCCUGUUUAUUGGAAAUCCAAGAAACAAUCGGUGGUUUCAAGGUCUUCCGCUGAGGCUGAAUAUCGUGAGAUGGCAACGACAGUGAGUGAGAUCCUUUGGGUUCGUUGGCUACUCACUAAUUUAGGUGUUGUCAUUAAUUCGCCUACCACUCUCAUGUGUGACAAUGAAUCUGCAAAGCACAUAGCACACAAUCCAGUUUUCCAUGAACGCACAAAACACGUGGAAAUGGAUUGCUAAUUUGUUCGGGAAAGGGUGGAAUCAAAAGAGAUCGCUCAUGUUUGGGUUCACACCAAAGAUCAACUGGCGGACUUACUCACUAAACCACUUGGCGCGGAACGACUACAAUCUCUCAUGGUCAAGUUGAACAUUCGUAAUCUGUUGGAUUAGUGUCUAAGUCCAUAACUAUUUUGGUAUGUACUUGACCCGAUUAUGAGCAUGGUCCUUUUGGGUUGCCUUCACCAUAGCAAUAUGUAGGAUGAUUUAAGGAGAGAAAGGUUUAAAUAUGAUUUAUUAAUAUAUUAUGAGAAUAAUAUAUUAAAGGAGAAAUCAUAUUGUUUAAUUAGUAUUAGUCAAGAAUUAAUUGAUAAUUAAUUUUGUGGCUAAAAGGGAUUAAUUAAACUUAGGGGACUGAAGUUGUAAUUAUAAGAUAAUUAUAAUUGGGCUAUGGAUCACCUAAUAAUAUAUAGGUUGGACGAAUUCUAUGGGAAGCCCAUUAGAAAUCGUCCAAGGGAUAUGUUUAAGGAGUCCAUGGGCUGCUUAGGGCCUAAGCAGUCAUAUUAGGGUUUCCUAGUUGUAAACCCUAAUAGCCUACAUGUAUAUAAAGGGCCCCUAUGCCCCAAAAACGUGGACAAGUCUUCCAUUAGGGUUUCCAGCCGUUUUUGGGCAGCCUCUCUUCUUCUCCUCUUCAUCCAAGUUGCAUAUGGUGUUUGUGACUCCAUUAGAGGUGCAGCACUUGAGGCACUAAGCUUUCUAAGGCCAAUCCAAGCCAGGAAUUGAUUGUUAUUGCUAUAUAACAAUCAAAGGUGAUUCUAUAAACCCUAAUUCAGUUUAUAAUAUGUUAGAUCUAAGUUUAUUAGUCUUGGAUUCAAAGCAUGUACAAUAGAGAAACCUAGAUCCAAGCAUUAGGGUUUGUAUGAGCACAUAGGACUGUUUCUUAUGCAUAAAACCCAUCAUAAUCUUCAUGCUUCAACUUGAGGGAAUUGUUAUUAUCUUUAUGUCAUGUUUAUCUUAUUCUAGAUAGGCUUCUGAUCCAAUACGAUAUGCUAGUUUGUUACAUUCUUUGUGGCUAUUUAUUUAUCUUUUCUGAUGUAACCUAAAUGGACGAUUUUGCAUGAAUGAAACAAAAACUUAUCCUCAGUAUAAGUUGACUUUCUUUAUUAUUAUUAUCUUAAACUCAUAGAAGAAUGCGAAGGAAGAAAAAAUAUAAAGAUAUUUAAUUUCUCUUUUAUAUAUUUCAUCGUAUCCUUUUAACUAUAUAUUUUAUUUUAUAAUUUAUUCGUUUAAUUUGAGAAUGGAAAAAGACAUCAGUUAUUAUCCAUCUAAUAUCUUCAUUUAAAAUCAAAUUUUAUGUUCUUAUUCUUUAUAAGGGAUGAGAGAGUCAUUCCCUUCCAACCGACUGAACCCACCGUCACAUCAGUUUUUGUUUCUCUUUUUUCUUCAACUUUUCUAACCCACAAUACACAGAAAUCUUAUUUUUCUCAACUCAUUCAACCCACUCAAUUUAAAAAGAAUACAAAACAACUAAGGCAUACGUAUUAAAACAUAUGGUAUAAGAAAAAAUGAGAGAAAGAAAGUAAAGAGAGGAUGAAGUGGGUUAGUAAAACCAAUUAAACAAUCCGCUGAAGAGGAGUGGUAUCGGAGGUAACUCUAUUGCUAAUUAAGAUUUUACUUUGCUUGUUUUGUAUAUAUUUUUUUUUAAUUGAAUGGGUUAAGUGGGUUAAAAAAAUAGUGUUUUUGUGUGUUGUGGGUUAAGAAAGAUGACAAAAAAUAAACAAUAAAAAAUAAUGUGGGAGUGGCUUAAAUGGGUACCAAUGUUUUAAAAACUAGUUUGAACUGGGAAUCGGGGAAAGGAGCGGUUCAACUAUCACCGGUUUUCUAUCGAUUUUUUAACUGGAUCAAACCGGUCGGUUUUUACAAAAAUCUGAUUGAACUGAUAAAUUGAAUAAAAACACAUGGAUAUGAAACUGUUUGCAUAAUAAACGUUAGUAUUUUUUCACAUUUAUUAAAAAAAAUCUUAAUAAAAACACAAGAUAAAUGUUAUGAAGUUUUUUGAUGUGUUUAUAUUCAUCUAGGAUUUUAUUUUCUUUUUAAUGUAUGUGAAUUGAUGUAAAACUUAUGGUUAUAAAUUAUUUUAAUGUAUUUAGAUUGAUCUAGAACUUGUUUUCAUGUGUAUUUUAAUAUUUGCACUUGUGGACAUCAAAUUAUUUAUUUUUGUAUGUAUUUAUGUAUAAAAAAAUAAAAAUUAUAAAAACUGGUUUAUUCAACGGCUGAACCGAUUAAACUGAAAACUGUUCGCAAUACCGAUUCAGCUAAAAAAACCGAUUUUUAAAAGAUAUGACUCCCUACUCCUAAAAAGAUAUAUGGAAACUCAACGUGUGAUGAAAAUAUACGUAUCACGUGGAUUGACCGGCCCUACCACUAUGUCCUCAUUUUCAUCCAUAUCAUAUAUCACCCGCUCCACUCCCCCAUUCAUCACAGAUCUAUCUGCCCAUCGGCACCAUUACCAACAAGGGAACCAUGGCUCCUAAAGUCAACCGUUUGUUCUUCAAUCUCCUCAUCGUCUUCAUCAUCGCCGCCGUCGUCAGAUCUGUAAGCUCCUAUUCCUCUCUGCAUUCAUUCAAAACAUUUAAAAUCUUAUUAAGCUUUUUCGAAUAAUUGCAGUCUGAUCCGGAUUGUGUGUACACCAUUUACGUCAGAACUGGAUCGAUACUUAAAGCCGGAACAGAUUCCAACAUGACGUUAACACUAUACGACGCCGCCGGCUAUGGCAUCAGGAUCAACAAUCUAGAAGCUUGGGGGGGUUUGAUGGGUCCUGGGUACAACUAUUUCGAGAGGAGCAAUCUGGACAUUUUCAGUGGAAGAGGCCCUUGUUUGACCGGAGCACCGUGUGAGAUGAACAUCACCUCCGACGGCACCGGGGCUCAUCAUGGUUGGUAUUGUAAUUACAUUGAGGUAACGACUACCGGAGCACACAUCCCCUGCGCACAACAGACAUUCACGGUUGAACAGUGGCUUGCUACCGACACGUCACCAUACGAACUUACCGCCGUCAGAAAUUACUGUGGAUCCGACGGCGAUGGUAGUUUAUCCGCUCACCGGCGCCACGUAAUCCGCGGUACUGCUUCAUCACUGCUUUCUGUUGUGUGAGAGGCGAUCGGGUGGCAAAAGUGAUGUUUG
rnacentral:lncRNA from 1 species